rnacentral:lncRNA from 13 species
UACCUCUCCAGUGGUCCAGUCCAUUUACUCAGCAGUUCUCUCUCCCCCCUACCUCUCCAGUGGUCCAGUCCAUUUACUCAGCAGUUCUCUCUCCCCCCUACCUCUCCAGUGGUCCAGUCCAUUUACUCAACAGUUCUCUCUCUCCCCCUCUCCAGCGGUUGCAGUGGUCCAGUCCAUCUCAGUGUUUGACCAGAGCAGACUGUUCAGUAUCCCUCUACCUGAGGCCCUGGGCUCCUCUGCCAGCUUCUCCUGUGUCCUCUAUAUCUACCUACCUCUCAUGGUCAUCGGGCUUCUCAUCAAUUUCCGCCACCUGUACAAACAGAGGAGGAAGAGGUUCCGGACCAAGAAGAGGAAGUCUAACUGACAUCAUUUUUAAAAUCUUUGACCUCCAACAACCUCUGCUGCCUGUCUGUUCCCAUCAUCUCAUCUAGGUUGACUAAAUUCCACUAACUUUCUCCACAUUUCCAGAAGUCCCAGUUAGGAGAAUUUUGCAACCCUCGUCUUGUAUUUUCUGUUGAUAAUUCGCAGUAUGAUUUUUUCUUGCUAACAAACGUCCUCAGGGGAAAGUCACAUAAGAUGUAUGUUUUUGUCACGUCAAUUAAUAUGCUGAAUAAAAAUGAGCAGUUCCACUUCCUGGGUAAAUUGUGUAAGAUUAAUAAAAAUACUCAUCUUUGGAAAAAAGAAACCUUUUUUUCAUUUAUUCAUUAGGAAAGUUAUAAAAACGAUAUGGUCAAAAACACACGUGAAGCCAUAGGCCUUAGCUUUUAACAGUUGGUGUGACAGAGAGCUUCAUUGACGAGCCAUUCUAAUAGUCCGAAACAGCACCCUAUUCCCUAUAUAGUGCACUACUUUAGACCAGAGCCUACAGGAAUAUGUCCCCCAGUAUCUGGGAUUUAGAGAUGUUGAGCAUGACGGGUCUCCUCUCUUAACAACCCAGGAGGCUCAGAUUCAAAUGGUCAAAAUACAGCCGUUACUCAACAUUAGGUCUAAAUACAAAAUGUACAAGGAAUCGAGGGAAAAAAGCCUCAUUGGCACUGCCAGCUGUUGUAGACUUCUGAUUUAGACGUGAGUGAACAUUGGAGGUGCCGAAGAGGAUUUUCUAGAAUUACAUACCGGCUGUAACGGGAGUAAAUGAAGAUAGUUACUCACCAAAUAUGGAGUUUCACUGAGCAACUAACAUAUUUUGGCAACACUUACAAAGCUGUAAUGGCAGUUUGAAUUGGAGCUUCCUGGGCAUUAGAGGACACAGGUCAACAUCUCUACUUGAAUCGGAGCUUCCUGGGCAUUAGAGAGGACACAGGUCAACAUCUCUACUUGAAUCGGAGCGUCCCUUGCAUUAGAGGACACAGGUCAACAUCUCUACUUGAAUCGGAGCUUCCUGGGCAUUAGAGGACACAGGUCAACAUCUCUACUUGAAUCGGAGCUUCCUGGGCAUUAGAGAGGACACAGGUCAACAUCUCUACUUGAAUCGGAGCGU